rnacentral:rRNA from 1 species
UACGAAGGGGGCUAGCGUUGUUCGGAAUUACUGGGCGUAAAGCGCGCGCAGGCGGCUAUCCAAGUCAGUGGUGAAAGCCCGGAGCUCAACUCCGGAACUGCCAUUGAAACUGUUUAGCUUGAGGACGAGAGAGGUGAGUGGAAUUCCCAGUGUAGAGGUGAAAUUCGUAGAUAUUGGGAAGAGCACCGGUGGCGAAGGCGGCUCACUGGCUCGUAUCCGACGCUCAGGCGCGACAGCGUGGGGAUCAAACAGG